rnacentral:rRNA from 1 species
GAUGAACGCUGGCGGCGUGCCUAAUACAUGCAAGUCGAGCGAACAGAUAAGGAGCUUGCUCCUUUGACGUUAGCGGCGGACGGGUGAGUAACACGUGGGUAACCUACCUAUAAGACUGGGAUAACUUCGGGAAACCGGAGCUAAUACCGGAUAACAUUUGGAACCGCAUGGUUCUAAAGUGAAAGAUGGUUUUGCUAUCACUUAUAGAUGGACCCGCGCCGUAUUAGCUAGUUGGUAAGGUAACGGCUUACCAAGGCAACGAUACGUAGCCGACCUGAGAGGGUGAUCGGCCACACUGGAACUGAGACACGGUCCAGACUCCUACGGGAGGCAGCAGUAGGGAAUCUUCCGCAAUGGGCGAAAGCCUGACGGAGUAACGCCGCGUGAGUGAUGAAGGGUUUCGGCUCGUAAAACUCUGUUAUUAGGGAAGAACAAAUGUGUAAGUAACUGUGCACGUCUUGACGGUACCUAAUCAGAAAGCCACGGCUAACUACGUG